rnacentral:rRNA from 1 species
AGAGUGAACGCUGGCGGCGUGCUUAACACAUGCAAGUCGAACGAAGAAUAGCAAUAUUCUUAGUGGCAAACGGGUGAGUAAUGUAUGGGAAUCUGCCUUAUAGUGGGGGACAACAGUUGGAAACGACUGCUAAUACCGCAUAAUACCGUUUACGGGAAAGCAGCAAUGCGCUAUUUGAUGAGCCCAUAUCUGAUUAGUUUGUUGGUGGGGUAAUGGCCUACCAAGACUACGAUCAGUAGCUGGUCUGAGAGGACGAUCGGCCACACUGGAACUGAGACACGGUCCAGACUCCUACGGGAGGCAGCAGUGGGGAAUAUUGGGCAAUGGACGAAAGUCUGACCCAGCAACGCCGCGUGGUGGAUGAAGGCCUUAGGGUUGUAAACACCUUUUAUUAGGGAAGAUAGUGACGGUACCUAAUGAAUAAGCAUCGGCUAACUUCGUGCCAGCAGCCGCGGUAAUACGAAGGAUGCUAGCGUUACUCGGAAUUACUGGGCGUAAAGAAUGCGUAGGCGGAUUAUUAAGUUGAUAGUGAAAUCCCCGAGCCUAACUCGGGAACUGCUAUCAAAACUGAUAAUCUAGAAUAUGGUAGAGAGUAAGGGAAUUCUUGGUGUAGGGGUAAAAUCCGUAGAUAUCAGGAGGAAGACCGGAAGCGAAAGCGCUUACUUGGGCCAUUAUUGACGCUGAGGCAUGAGAGCGUGGGGAUCGAACAGGAUUAGAUACCCUGGUAGUCCACGCUGUAAACGAUGAGUGCUAAUUCUGGGGAUUUCGGUCUCUGGGGUAAAGCUAACGCGUUAAGCACUCCGCCUGGGUAGUACGAUCGCAAGAUUAAAACUCAAAGGAAUUGACGGGGGCCCGUACAAGCGGUGGAGCAUGUGGUUUAAUUCGAUGAUAACCGAAGAACCUUACCAGCCCUUGACAUGUAUAUCGAGAUUUCACGAAAGUGGGUCGUCAUUUAGUUGGAUAUACACAGGUGUUGCAUGGCUGUCGUCAGCUCGUGUCGUGAGAUGUUGGGUUAAGUCCCUUAACGAGCGCAACCCUUGCCAUUAUUUGCCAGCGAGUUAUGUCGGGGACUAUAGUGGGACUGCUAUCGAAAGGUAGAGGAAGGAGAGGAUGAUGUCAAGUCAUCAUGGCCCUUAUGGGCUGGGCUACACACGUGCUACAAUGGACGGUACAAUGUGUUGCAAUGCAGUAAUGCGGAGCUAAUCAUAAAAACCGUUCUCAGUUCGGAUCGAGGCUUGCAACUCAGCCUCGUGAAGCUGGAAUCGCUAGUAAUCGUGAAUCAGAAUGUCACGGUGAAUACGUUCCCGGGCCUUGUACACACUGCCCGUCAAGCCAUGAGAGCUGUUCUUACCUCAAGUAUGUGAGCUAACCGCAAGGAGGCAGCAUCCUAGGGUAAUAUCAGUGAUUGGGGUUAAGUCGUAACAAGGUA